CUACUCUCUCCCCAGUUUCCCAAGCACCUGCAAAGGCUCCUUUGGUGUCCGACAUCUGUUGGCCUUGAACUGUCCAUGGGGAAACAACUUCCAGAAGACCCUGUUCAUCUGCCCUCUCUCCCUGUCUCCGACCAUUCAAAUGAACUACCCAUGCUCAAGGUUCUGCCGCAGGCUCUGCUUUGGGCUUCAGGUGAAGCAUUUCCACUGGAAGAGCAGAGGUUGAAUACAGCGGAAGACCUCAACCAGCGUCCACAAAAAUCACACAGCAGCGGACGGGACUUGGGGAGCAUUUGCCCAAUUCGGGUGAUUUCCUCACUAACUCUGACAGAAGAGUCACCUGACUUCCCAGGGAAAACAAUGGCAGAUUGAUUUGGCUACCUGGGCAUCUGUGGCUCUAGGAGUUGUCGUUCAUCAACAUUAAGCUGACUUCUUUGCAAAGGAUCUUACAAUCACAUAGACUUGAGUUUUAAAGUUCACAUGCAUGGAAUGUCUCUGCCCUGCUCUGAGGGAGCUCAGAGGUCUCCGUUUAACAACUGCCUUGAAGAUGAAAACCAUACGUUGUGGGCAAGAGGCUGGAGCUGUGAUUCGGUUGGCCACGUGGGCCGGGCACAAAGGAAGGCCUGGGCUCAGUCUCCAGGAGGCAUAAUCGAGGCACGGUGCACACACCUGUGAUCCUAGUGCUUGAUAGGUAGAGACAAGAAGAUCAGAAGUUCAAAUUCAAGGUCAUCCUUAGCUACAUAGUAAGUCCAAGCCUUGCUUGUCCACAGCAAGAAAAAAGUGUGGUGUGUGUGUGUGU
rnacentral:lncRNA from 1 species